AGUCGACGGAGCACCCUUGAUUGAGGUUUCGGCCAAUGAUAGGAAUGCUUAGUGGCGGACUGGUGAGUAACGCGUGAGGAACCUGCCUUUCAGAGAGGGACAACAGUUGGAAACGACUGCUAAUACCGCAUGACGCAUUUUGAUCGCAUGGUCGAAAUGCCAAAGAUUUAUCGCUGAAAGAUGGCCUCGCGUCUGAUUAGAUAGUUGGCGGGGUAACGGCCCACCAAGUCGACGAUCAGUAGCCGGACUGAGAGGUUGACCGGCCACAUUGGGACUGAGAUACGGCCCAGACUCCUACGGGAGGCAGCAGUGGGGAAUAUUGGGCAAUGGGCGCAAGCCUGACCCAGCAACGCCGCGUGAAGGAAGAAGGCUUUCGGGUUGUAAACUUCUUUUAAGUGGGAAGAGUAGAAGACGGUACCACUUGAAUAAGCCACGGCUAACUACGUGCCAGCAGCCGCGGUAAUACGUAGGUGGCAAGCGUUGUCCGGAUUUACUGGGUGUAAAGGGCGUGCAGCCGGGCAUGCAAGUCAGAUGUGAAAUCUCAGGGCUUAACCCUGAAACUGCAUUUGAAACUGUAUGUCUUGAGUGCCGGAGAGGUAAUCGGAAUUCCUUGUGUAGCGGUGAAAUGCGUAGAUAUAAGGAAGAACACCAGUGGCGAAGGCGGAUUACUGGACGGUAACUGACGGUGAGGCGCGAAAGCGAGGGGAGCGAACAG
rnacentral:rRNA from 1 species